GACGAACGCUGGCGGCGUGCUUAACACAUGCAAGUCGAACGGAAAGGCCCUGCUUUUGUGGGGUGCUCGAGCGGCGAACGGGUGAGUAACACGCGAGUAACCUGCCCUUGACUUUGGGAUAACUUCAGGAAACUGGGGCUAAUACCGGAUAGGAGCUCCUGCUGCAUGGUGGGGGUUGGAAAGUUUCGGCGGUUGGGGAUGGACUCGCGGCUUAUCAGCUUGUUGGUGGGGUAGUGGCUUACCAAGGCUUUGACGGGUAGCCGGCCUGAGAGGGUGACCGGCCACAUUGGGACUGAGAUACGGCCCAGACUCCUACGGGAGGCAGCAGUGGGGAAUAUUGCACAAUGGGCGGAAGCCUGAUGCAGCAACGCCGCAUGCGGGAUGACGGCCUUCGGGUUGUAAACCGCUUUCGCCUGUGACGAAGCGUGAGUGACGGUAAUGGGUAAAGAAGCACCGGCUAACUACGUG
rnacentral:rRNA from 1 species